CAGUACCACUCGACGGAGAAGCACGAUGACAGCGAUACGUUGGGCGAAAUCGGAGAAAAGGCAAGAACAACAGCGGAGGAGUUCCUGAAGAUGGCCAAGGAGAAGACCGACGAUGUCGCCGAGGGCGCAAAGGAGAUGGUGUAGGAGACCAAGGAGGCGGUGCUCGACGAGUCGGACGACGAGUAAGACAAGUUCAAGCAGCGGGUCGAGCAGGGGAGGUACGAUCAGAAAUAA
rnacentral:rRNA from 1 species